GCGAGACCAAAUUCCUCCAGCAGAGCAGCAGGACAUUCGCUAGAAUAACUGCUCCAUUCGCAGGAUUCAAGCACGGAAGAAGCAGAGGCUGUAGGUGCAAAGCAACGUGACAGCAGGAACCUUACGGAUGGCUUCCCUCAGCCCAGCCCUUCCCUGAACCAGCUUCCGAGGCGCCCUCUUCCCCAGCCAUCCUCCCACCCAUUCCCAAGCUUGGGCCUGUUUGAGUGGACUUGCCAAAGGAGCUGAGAGAGGACAAACACCUCCUCCCCACCCUGGAUGAGAACAUGGAAUCAGAAAAAGCUGUCUCUGACCCUGUCAUUUGCCCAAGAUCACAGAGCUGGUAUAGAAAUGCUGCACAUUCAAAUAUGAGAGGAAUCUUAGGAAAAUUACGUUACUAGGAAACCAAAAUGGUUUGGCAUUCUGUCAAGAGGAAUUUCUAUUCUGCCACCAUAUACUGUUCCUGAGAUCCUGCCAAACCGCAUUUGUUAUCCAUGGCUGUCUUCUUUGAGCUGGAUUCUCUCCAAAAACGAUCAAGGCACAACAUCUCUGAACACCAAAAACUACUUGUUGGCCAUUGUCUUCCCUGCGGGUAUUGAGGUAUCAGAGUAUUCGAGUUAAUAAACAUGUUUC